CUCAGAGGUAAACGGGUAGAGCUGAAUGCAGCGUUUGGAAUUCAGCUUGGUGUAGUUUGCUGCAGCUGUGUGAGACCCUUGACAGGGAUUCACUAGGUUGUUAGUGGGCUAUGCUGAGUGCACUUUCUAAGCGCUAAAACUGCGACCGAUGAUUAGGCUGGACUGUCGUCUUGAGAAGGUAGUGUCUGCUUUCAUUAGUGGGCAUGUUAUAGCUCUUGACAUGGCUGUCUCUGGCUGAACAUUGGGACAAGCGGCUAGACAAAAUUUGAUGGUGAUUACUUGAGCUCUGGUUUUGUACUUACUGUUUCAAGUGAGUCUUGAUCAUUGGGCUUUGGUGUUGCUAUUGAUGGUUUGGCCAAUAGUCUGCAGUGUGCGAGUAGGCCAUCUACCUGACCCGUCUUGAAACACGGACCAAGGAGUUUAGUAUAUGCGCAAGUCAAUGGGCUUUACGAAACCCUACGGCGUAAUGAAAGUGAAGGUGAGCUUUUGCUUGCUUACAUGAGAUCCCGAGACUUCGGUCAAGGGCGCAUCAUGGGCCUGUGCUUACUCCCUUGCGGAGAGUGCAGCGCUUGAGCGCAUAUACUGAGACCCGAAAGAUGGUGACCUAUGCUUGUUCAGGUUGAAGCCAGAGGAAACUCUGGUGGAGGACCGUAGCAGUUCUGACGUGCAAAUCGAUUGUCAGAAAUGAGUAUAGGGGCGAAAGACUAAUCGAACCAUCUAGUAGCUGGUUCCCUCCGAAGUUUCCCUCAGGAUAGCUGACGCUCGUAUUUCAAGAUACCAGUUUGACCCGGUAAAGCGAAUGAUUAGAGGUACUGGGGACUAACUGUCCUCAACCUAUUCUCAAACUUUAAAUGGGUCAGUCGCCAUUGUCCUUUAAUUAGACAAUGGCGUUGAAUGAGAGUGUCUAGUGGGCCAUUUUUGGUAAGCAGAACUGGCGCUGUGGGAUGAACCAAACGUCUGGUUAAGGUGCCUAAUACGGUCGCUCAUGAGACACCAGAAAAGGUGUUGGUUGAUAUAGACAGCAGGACGGUGGCCCUGGAAGUCGGAAUCCGCUAAGGAGUGUGUAACAACUCACCUGCCGAAUCAACCAGCCCUGAAAAUGGAUGGCGCUGUAGCGAUGGACCUAUACCAGACCGGCAUAGCAAGAACAUUUAUUUGAGACAAGUAUGCUAUGUCGAGUAGGAGGGUCGCUGUAGUAGCGUAGAAGCUUAUGCCUGAGGC
rnacentral:rRNA from 1 species